UACGUAGGGUGCAAGCGUUAAUCGGAAUUACUGGGCGUAAAGCGUGCGCAGGCGGUUAUGUAAGACAGUUGUGAAAUCCCCGGGCUCAACCCUGGGAACUGCAUCUGUGACUGCAUAGCUAGAGUACGGUAGAGGGGGAUGGAAUUCCGCGUGUAGCAGUGAAAUGCGUAGAUAUGCGGAGGAACACCGAUGGCGAAGGCAAUCCCCUGGACCUGUACUGACGCUCAUGCACGAAAGCGUGGGGAGCAAACGAGGAU
rnacentral:rRNA from 1 species